rnacentral:rRNA from 1 species
CACGUAGGGGGCAAGCGUUGUCCGGAUUUAUUGGGCGUAAAGAGCUCGUAGGUGGUUCGGUAAGUCAGGUGUGAAACCUCCAGGCUCAACCUGGAGACGCCACUUGAUACUGCCGUGACUGGAGUCCGGUAGGGGAGCGUGGAAUUCCUGGUGUAGCGGUGAAAUGCGCAGAUAUCAGGAGGAACACCGAUGGCGAAGGCAGGUCUCUGGGCCGAUACUGACGCUGAGGAGCGAAAGCGUGGGGAGCAAACAGG